rnacentral:rRNA from 1 species
GAUGAACGCUGGCGGCGUGCCUAAUACAUGCAAGUCGAGCGAACAGACGCGGAGCUUGCUCCUCUGACGUUAGCGGCGGACGGGUGAGUAACACGUGGAUAACCUACCUAUAAGACUGGGAUAACUUCGGGAAACCGGAGCUAAUACCGGAUAAUAUAUUGAACCGCAUUGUUCAAUGGUGAAAGACGGUUUUGCUGUCAGUUAUCGAUGGAUCCGCGCCGCUUUAGCUAGUUGGUACGGUAACGGCUUACGAAGGCGACGAUGCGUAGCCGACCUGAGAGGGUGAUAGGCCACACUGGAACUUAGACACGGUCAAGACGCCUACGGGACGCAGCAGUAGGGAAUCGGCCGCAAUGGGCGAAAGCCUGACGGAGCAACGGCGCGUGAGAGAUGAAGGUCUUCGGAUCGUAAAACUCUGUUACUAGGGAAGAACAAAUGUGGAAGUAACUAUGCACGGAGUGACGGUACCUAAUCAGAAAGCCACGGCUAACUACGUG